rnacentral:rRNA from 1 species
UAGCAAUAUUCCGGAGUCGGAGCGGCGCAAGGGUGCGUAACACGUGGGUAAUCUGCCAUGAAGUCUGGAAUAACUUGCUGAAAGGCGAGCUAAUACCGGAUGUGACCAUUGGGAGGCAUCUCCUGAUGUUUAAAGUUGGGGACCGUAAGGCCUGACGCUUCUUGAUGAACCCGCGGCCUAUCAGCUAGUUGGUGAGGUAACGGCCCACCAAGGCUAAGACGGGUAGCUGGUCUGAGAGGACGACCAGCCACACUGGAACUGAGACACGGUCCAGACACCUACGGGUGGCAGCAGUCGAGAAUUUUUCACAAUGGGCGCAAGCCUGAUGGAGCGACGCCGCGUGGGGGAUGAAUGGCUUCGGCCCGUAAACCCCUGUCAUUCGCGAUCAAACCUUGUUAUUUAAAAGAUGACGAGCUGAUAGUAGCGGAAGAGGAAGGGACGGCUAACUCUGUGCCAGCAGCCGCGGUAAUACAGAGGUCCCAAGCGUUGUUCGGAUUCACUGGGCGUAAAGGGUGCGUAGGUGGUGAGGUAAGUCGGAUGUGAAAUCUCGGAGCUCAACUCCGAAAUGGCAUUGGAAACUACCUUGCUCGAGGAAUGGAGGGGGGACUGGAAUUCACGGGUGUAGCAAA